rnacentral:rRNA from 1 species
CCUACGGGAGGCAGCAGUGAGGAAUAUUGGUCAAUGGACGAGAGUCUGAACCAGCCAAGUAGCGUGAAGGAUGACUGCCCUAUGGGUUGUAAACUUCUUUUAUAUGGGAAUAAAACGUUCCACGUGUGGGAUUUUGUAUGUACCAUAUGAAUAAGGAUCGGCUAACUCCGUUCCAGCAGCCGCGGUAAUACGGAGGAUCCGAGCGUUAUCCGGAUUUAUUGGGUUUAAAGGGAGCGUAGGUGGAUUGUUAAGUCAGUUGUGAAAGUUUGCGGCUCAACCGUAAAAUUGCAGUUGAAACUGGCAGUCUUGAGUACAGUAGAGGUGGGCGGAAUUCGUGGUGUAGCGGUGAAAUGCUUAGAUAUCACGAAGAACUCCGAUUGCGAAGGCAGUUCACUGGACUGCAACUGACACUGAGGCUCGAAAGUGUGGGUAUCAAACAGGAUUAGAUACCCUAGUAGUC